CCCAGUUUAUCAUACCAGUAGUCAUAUGCUUGUCUCAAAGAUUAAGCCAUGCAUGUCUAAGUAUGAACUAAUUUAGACUGUGGAACUGUGGAUAGAUCAUUAAACCAAUUAGAGUUUUUUUAUGUUACCAUACUACUCAAAUAACUGUAGUAAUUCUAGAGCUAAUACAUGCAACAAGCCUUGACUCUUUGGAAGGGAUGCAUUUUUUAGACAAAAGGUCAGUGCGGGCAUGACCACUUCUCCUGUGAAUCAUGAUAACUCGAUGGAUCGCACAUCCCUUGUGUUGGCGAUUCCUCAUUCAAAUUUCUUCCCUAUCAACUUUCGAUCGUAGGAUAGAGGCAUACCAUGGUGGUGAUGGGUGACAGAGAGUUAGGGUUCGAUUCGGGAGAGGGAGCCAGAGAAACGACUACCAUGAGAAACAAUUACCACGUCUAAGGAAGGUAGCAGGCACACAAAUUACACAAUACUAACAUGGGGAGGUGGUGAUAAUAAAUAACAAUACUGGGCUCAUCGAGUUUGGUAAUUGGAAUGAGUACAAUAUAAAUCCCUUAACAAGGAUCCAUUGGAGGGAAAGUAUGGUACCCUCAGCCAUGGUAAUUCUAGCUCCAAUAGUGUAUAUUUAAGUUGUUGUAGUUAAAAAUCUUGUAGUUGGAUUUUGGGUCGUAAAGGUUGGUCUGCCAACUUGAUGUGCACCUGCCCUUCCAUCCCUUUUGUCGGUGGUAUGAUAUUGGCCUUAAUUGGCUAGGUCGCAGCUCUAGUGCUAUUACUUUGAAAAAAUUAGAGUGGUCAAAGCAAGCUUCUGCUUUAAAUACAUUAGCAUGGAAUAGUGUGAUAGGAGUCUUGUCCUAUUGUGUUGGCCUUUGGGACCAUAGUAAUGAUUAAUAGGGACUGUCAAGGGCAUUCAUAUUUCAUUCUCAUAGGUAAAAUUCUUGAUUUAUGAAAUAUGCACCACUGUGAAAGCAUUUGCCAAGGAUGUUUUCAUUAAUCAAGAACGAAAGUUGGGAGCUCGAAGAUAAUCACAUACCAUCCUAGUCUCAACCAAAAAUGAUGCCAACGAAGGAUCGGUGGAUGUUGCUCUAAGGACUCUGCCAACACCUUCUAAGAAACCAUAGUGUUCGGGUUCCGGGGGGAGUAUGGUCACAAGGCAGAAACUUAAGGGAAUUCAUGGAAGGGCACCACUAGGAGUGGAGCCUGUGGCUUAAUUUGAAUCAACACAGAAAAGCUUACCAAGUCCUGACAUAGUAAGUAUUGACAUAUUGAAAGCUCUUUAUUCAUUCUAUGGGUUGUGGUGCAUGGUCGUUCUUAGUUGGUGGAGCGAUUUGUCUAGUUAAUUCUAAUAAUGAAUGAGACGUUAGCCUGAUAACUAGCUAUGCAGAGGUUCCCCUUUAUGGUCAGCUUUGUAGAGGGACUAUAGCCAUUUAGGCCAUGGGAGUUUGAGGAAAUAAUAGUUCUAUGAUGCCCUUAGAUGUUAUGGGCCGCAUAUGCACUACACUGAUGUAUCCAAUGAUUUAUUCUUCCUGGUUCGAGAGGACCAGGAAACCUUCUCAAAUUGCAUCAUGAUGGAGAUAGACCAUUGCAAUUAUUGGUCUUCAAUGGAGAAUUCCUAGUAAGUGCAUGUCAUCAAAUCAUGUUGACUAUGUCCCUGUACUUUGUACACACUGCCCAUCGCUCAUACCAAUUGAGUGAUCUGGUGAAGUGUUUGGAUUGCAUCAAUGAUGGUCGUUCGCUGUCUUCGACGUUGUGAGAAGUUCAUUGAACCUUAUCAUUUAGAGGAAGGAUAAGUCGUCACAAGGUUCCCAUAGGUGAAUCUCUAGUAG
rnacentral:rRNA from 1 species